UACGUAGGGGCUAGCGUUGUCCGGAUUUAUUGGGCGUAAAGAGCGUGUAGGCGGCCAGGUAGGUCUGCUGUGAAAACUCGAGGCUCAACCUCGAGAUGUCAUCGGAAACCAUUUGGCUAGAGUCCGGAAGAGGAGAGUGGAAUUCCUGGUGUAGCGGUGAAAUGCGCAGAUAUCAGGAAGAACACCAAUGGCGAAAGCAGCUCUCUGGGACGGUACUGACGCCGAGACGCGAAAGCGUGGGGAGCGAACAGG
rnacentral:rRNA from 1 species